AUUGAACGCUGGCGGCAGGCCUAACACAUGCAAGUCGAGCGAGCGGCGGACGGGUGAGUAAUGUCUGGGAAACUGCCCGAUGGAGGGGGAUAACUAAUGGAAAAGGUAGCUAAUACCGCAUACCAUCAGAUGUGCCCAGAUGGGAUUAGCUAGUAGGUGGGGUAAUGGCUCACCUAGGCGACGAUCCCUAGCUGGUCUGAGAGGAUGACCAGCCACACGGGAACGUAUACACGGUCCAGACUCCUACGGGAGGCAGCAGUGGGGAAUAUUGCACAAUGGGCGCAAGCCUGAUGCAGCCAUGCCGCGUGUGUGAAGAAGGCCUUCGGGUUGUAAGGCACUUUCAGCGAGGAGGCGUUACUCGCAGAAGAAGCACCGGCUAACUCCGUGCCAGCAGCCGCGGUAAUAC
rnacentral:rRNA from 1 species